rnacentral:ncRNA from 1 species
UCCAAUGGCGAACGGUCACUCCACACUAUGAGCGUUCGUACAUAAAAAAGGAGGAUUAUUACCGUUAGCUUGCGGUGCGGCAGCGUGGAGACCUGUCGUAAUGCGGUGCAUCUUAAGCGCUUUUGCAAAGGAUGCCGCGAGGCGGUUCGGAGGAGUCCUUUCCGUCAGAGCAUAUGUAAAUGGCA